rfam:Loxodonta africana unplaced genomic scaffold scaffold_60, whole genome shotgun sequence.
GGUUCCAUGCUGUAAUGCUGACCACUCUGGACUCUGAAUCCAGCUAUCCGAGUUCAAGUCUCGAUGGAACCU